rnacentral:tRNA from 1 species
GGAUCGAUAGCUCAGUGGGAGAGCACGACGCUGAAGACGUCGCGUGCCUCGGUUCGAAUCCGAGUCGAUCCA